rnacentral:rRNA from 1 species
UACGGAGGGUGCAAGCGUUACUCGGAAUCACUGGGCGUAAAGCGUGCGUAGGCGGUUUCUUAAGUCUGUCGUGAAAGCCCUGGGCUCAACCUGGGAAUGGCGAUGGAUACUGGGAAGCUAGAGUGUGAUAGAGGAUGGUGGAAUUCCCGGUGUAGCGGUGAAAUGCGUAGAUAUGCGGAGGAACACCGAUGGCGAAGGCAAUCCCCUGGACCUGUACUGACGCUCAUGCACGAAAGCGUGGGGAGCAAACGAGG